rnacentral:rRNA from 1 species
GUGGUAAUGCCGGAUGCUCCAGUUGAUCGCAUGGUCUUCUGGGAAAGCUUUCGCGGUAUGGGAUGGGGUCGCGUCCUAUCAGCUUGACGGCGGGGUAACGGCCCACCGUGGCUUCGACGGGUAGCCGGCCUGAGAGGGCGACCGGCCACAUUGGGACUGAGAUACGGCCCAGACUCCUACGGGAGGCAGCAGUGGGGAAUAUUGCACAAUGGGCGCAAGCCUGAUGCAGCGACGCCGCGUGAGGGAUGGAGGCCUUCGGGUUGUAAACCUCUUUUAUCGGGGAGCAAGCGUGAGUGAGUUUACCCGUUGAAUAAGCACCGGCUAACUACGUGCCAGCAGCCGCGGUAAUACGUAGGGUGCAAGCGUUAUCCGGAAUUAUUGGGCGUAAAGGGCUCGUAGGCGGUUCGUCGCGUCCGGUGUGAAAGUCCAUCGCUUAACGGUGGAUCCGCGCCGGGUACGGGCGGGCUUGAGUGCGGUAGGGGAGACUGGAAUUCCCGGUGUAACGGUGGAAUGUGUAGAUAUCGGGAAGAACACCA